GAUGAAUGAAAACAUUCCUGGCAGAUGCUGUGGGGACCAAAGGAAAACAAUCACCAAGUGCCUCUCCCACAGAAGCAAAACAUAAACAAAGCCGACCCACGGAGAAAACGUUAAGUACCGGGAGAACUACACAAAGCCUGAGGCUGAAACGUCAGGACAGGGGGAUACAUCCAAGGACUCAUUCCGUGCACCUACAACCCAAAGUCCAACUUGUGAUGAGAGCACGCAGGAUCUAGCAGGAAACCCCUCCAACGCAACGGCGAUUGGGCUUCUUUAAGAGGGAGGUACUUCCAGCCUCUCGAAGGACCACCCCCCUCGCUCAUAUUCGCCAGGGAGGCGUUCGUGACCAGGUCUACAUUCGAGUCACAACACCGGAGUUAAAAAAACGCUCGGAAGGCUAUUUAAAUACUCCGAGCCGGGUUCUGCGUAUGCCGAUG